rnacentral:rRNA from 1 species
UACGUAGGGGGCAAGCGUUGUCCGGAAUCAUUGGGCGUAAAGCGCGUGUAGGCGGUUCGAUAAGUCUGCUGUGAAAGUCCAGGGCUCAACCCUGGAAAGCCGGUGGAUACUGUCGGACUAGAGUACGGAAGAGGCGAGUGGAAUUCCCGGUGUAGCGGUGAAAUGCGCAGAUAUCGGGAAGAACACCCGUGGCGAAGGCGGCUCUCUGGGACGGUACUGACGCUGAGACGCGAAAGCGUGGGGAGCGAACAGG